AGUGGUGGAGUUCAGGGCAGAAUAUGUGCUUAGCAGGCACAAGGUCCUGGGUUCAAACCCCAGUACCUA
rnacentral:tRNA from 1 species